rnacentral:rRNA from 1 species
UACGAAGGGGGCUAGCGUUGUUCGGAUUUACUGGGCGUAAAGCGCACGUAGGCGGACUAUUAAGUCAGGGGUGAAAUCCCGGGGCUCAACCCCGGAACUGCCUUUGAUACUGGGAGUCUUGAGUUCGAGAGAGGUGAGUGGAAUUCCGAGUGUAGAGGUGAAAUUCGUAGAUAUUCGGAGGAACACCAGUGGCGAAGGCGGCUCACUGGCUCGAUACUGACGCUGAGGUGCGAAAGCGUGGGGAGCAAACAGG